rnacentral:sRNA from 1 species
AAAAAAACAAAAAAUAUACGAACUUUAUCAGGCUGUAUAUUAACAAAGCAACCAGGUCAGAUAUUUUUGUUUGCUAGAAUCGAUGAGAAAAUCAAACAUAUCGAUACCAAAAAUGUGAGCACCGAAAAACGAAACGUUUUGGCUGGAAGCCCGGGUCGGUAUUCUCUAAAUGGGUCCUGAGCACACCAUUAUUUUGUUGGCAAUGGAACAUGUCGGGCUAUCAGCAGUAGAUGAUGGCGUCGCUGCCCGGGCAACCACCAUGAAGAUGACAAUGUUUCAAAGAGAUACAAAA